rnacentral:lncRNA from 1 species
GUCAUCCAUCUAUCCAUCUAUCCAUCCAUCCAUCCAUCCAUCCAUCCAUCCAUCCAUCUAUCCAUCCAUCCAGGUGGUGGGGAUGAAGUGUGUUUGUGUAGCCCAGACUGGCCUUGAACUCAGAGAUCUCUUGUCUCUGUCACCUAAGUGCUUCUGGGGUCAAAGGCGUGUACCACCAUAGCCUACCAUUCUGAUUUGUUAUUUUAGAAAUAAAACCACCCCCCCCCCCACAGAGUUUCUCUCUAUAGCCCUGGAACUCACUCUGUAGACCAGGCUGGCCUUGAACUCAGAUAUUCCCCUGCCUCUGCCUCUGCCUCCCAAGUUCUGGGAUUACAUUGCUGCUUUAAAACACCCACGUUCACUACAGACCCUUUCCCUCAACCAAGAAAGGCACCAAUUAUCAACACUUGAUAACUUAGUAGCCACUUGAGCCUUUCUGUACCUGAAAUCUUGACAAAAAAUUGAGACAUAAAGGCCCCAAACUGUGUUAUUUUAGGAAAUUUAAGAUAUAACAUUUUACCAGAUAGUGGUGACAGGCCUUUCCCCGCACUCAGGUAGCAGAGGCAGGUGUUUCUGAGUUUGCAGGGAGCCUCGUCUACAAAGUGAGUUCCAGGACAUGCAAGGCUACACAGAGAAACCCUGUUUGGAAAGAACAAGCACAACAGUAACACACAAAACCAAAAGAUACGGCAAUGUAACUUCUAGAAACAAUCAAUUAAUUAAAAAUGAUGCAAUGUUUUUCUUAGGGCUAUAAAAUUUAUUUUGUAGCUCUUGUGUAUUUGCAAGGGAGCCAGAAGGCCUCAGCUCUAGACUUUUGUGUCUGAAUGAUUUCUUUUUCCAAUAGUUGAAUGGUGCACAGCAGUGUCUUCCCACACGCCUUUGAGUGCCCACCCUGAACCCUUGUCUCCUUCCUUGCUCCUACACUCCCAUGAGUCUUCUACUUUCAGGUCAUAUGUGUUCACGUGUGUUGUGUGUCUGUGUGCACUCCAUGAUUUAGUGGCUUUGGUCACAUCCAGUGCCAUCAGAGCAUUUACAGGGCAUAAUUAAAAGCUCAUGAUACCUCACAAUUGUAGGCUGCAAUGAAACAGUAAGAGGGGGUAUUGUUGUUUAGGGUGUGGUUAGAGAAAUAGUUGUAUCUUUUAAUUAAACAAAGGAUGGCUAAUGCCUGAAAACUAGUCUAUUGAACAGGAGGGACUGUGAGCUUUCAAACAAAUCAGGAACUUGAGAAUCACGGUGUGUAGGUUCUUUUGUCACUGAUGAAUUUGAGUCUUAGCGAUGCUCAGUGGUGAUCUCAGGAGCCCAGAUCGUUGCUUGGCAUCUGUACCCCUGAGAAGAGAGGGCCUUGCUUGAGACUUCGGUAGCAUAGACUCUUAAGGCAUCUCUUCCAGAUGGCAGGAUUUGGGGGAGAGCGGGGUGAUAGUUUACUAAGUCUUAGUGUGUGUGCACAUGCGUGUGUGUGUGUGUGUGUGUGUGUGUGUGUGUGUCCCCAUGUGCACACUGGAGCCAUGGCACUUAUGUGGAAGUCAGGGCUGCUACAGAGAGUAGUUUUUCUCCUUCCUCUAUUUGGGUCCCAGGGAUCAAACUCAGGUAGUAAGGCCUGGUGCCUCCCAUAUUAUAAUGGCUGAGCCAUCUCAGCAGGUCCACGUGUUACUUUUCAUACUUGAAGGCUAUUGUUUUGACUUUUUCAGUAUUUUUGAACAAAGUAUUGAUGAGCUAAUAGUUAGCAUUGUGAAUUUUUUCUUAUUUUAAAAAGGAAGUUGACAUAGUAGCAAGUGUUGUGCUUUAAGCGAAAUGAUAAGAGGAAGGCAAACCAGCCUGAGUGACUUGGCUGGCAAGAGGCUGUCUCUUUGCAGGGGAUUUAGAGGGACGAUU